rnacentral:lncRNA from 1 species
AGGUGAUGCCAAUGAUGCUUAGCAGGAGGCUGCCGAGCUUGUAAAGCUCAGUUCAGUUUAGUGUUGGACGGGACAUGAGCGUUUCCUGGAGCAGUUCUGUCUACAGGAACAGCGUAAAUCAUCUUUGCCAUCGUGCCAGUAUGACAACAGUCAGGAAAAAAACCAAUGCAAGGCUCGCCAAGCAGGAUCAUCAGAACUCUGCCCUCUGCCUCUCCUCCCAAGGCCUCCGGUGAAUCUCAAGCCCCAGCAGCGCAGCUUCGUUACUGCCACUCAGCAGGUCACUCUGCUAAUCUUGUAGAUCAGAGGAAUAAAGGGAAUUUGGCGGAAUGAAAAGCAACAUCCCUAGGCACCCUUGCAAAGGGCAGACUCCUCCCAUUCCUCCGGCAGAGUCUUAACAGUGUGGCGAGAAGCCUGUUCCAGGCAGUGUUUACCUGGAGGACUCCUGCCUGAGAAGGGCUUCGGCUCUACUAACGUGCCUCUGCUGGAGUUCUUGCUGCAGUCGCUUUAAUCCUGACCCAGUGGUUCCAUUUGCUGCGGUGCGCAAGGGCAUUCGUACAGAGAGGCGCAUAUACUGCCAAUCAGCGCAAGGCACUGCGUCUGGACGUUUUAAAAACACAAAAACCUGGCUUCCGACCUCGGCUGGGACGCCGGAGGGGUGUGUGCGCGGUGAGGGGUUUAUUUACACAUCUUAAUCCGUUCUCCUGACACGAUGGCCUCCUCCUGUGUUGAAACUCAACCACAGAUACGGCAUAGAGCUUAUUUAUUUGUUGACCUGCAUCUCAGCUCUUUCCCAGAUUUUCCUGGAAACGUUCAUCCUAAGUUUCUACAGGCGUGAUGGGUACUCCAGGCUGUGUGCUUCGGCUGCCUUUGUCAAAACAGGCAUUUCCAUUGUAGUAGGAAAAUCUGUUAAAAGAUCAUACUUGUUGGACAGCUUUUUACACAGUAAUAAUUUUUUUCAAAGGUAGCUUUACAUCGUUCCUGUUCAGAGAAAGGAGAUUUAUUCCAUUUAUGUGUAAAUAACAUCAUCUAAGCCCUUGAGUAUAUAGGGUAUAGCAGGAUGCUCUCGGCUAAAAUUCACAGAAUGUCUGACUGCACUGACUUACACUGUGUGGGUUGAUGAUUUUCUCACAUAACAAGUCCAGAGGUGAGUGAUGUUUAGUCUUUUUUAGUGUUUUUUAUUGUUCGGUGGCCAACUUGUGUCUGACUCUUUUUCGUGUCUGGUCUGUUUUAGGCUCUUUUUUAGUCUGUUUCAGGCAUUCAGUAAUGUCAUCUAGGACCUGGUUUCCUUCCAUCUGGAGACUCUAUCAUCCCCCGUAAGUCAGGCUAAAGGACCGGGUUCAAAGGCCAGAGUGGGAAGUCGCAUCAAGGAGGGAGGCAGACGCGUGACUUCUCCUCUGCACAGAGGGAAGUCUCUUGGGAAAGCCCCCUCUCAUCACGUCCCGUAUGUUUUGUUGACCAUCAUUGGAUCAUCGUCUAUCGCUUGCUGAAGACAAGGGCAGGUAUCCUCCCCUUUCUCUGGUUCUGAC